rnacentral:rRNA from 1 species
UGGGGAAUUUUGGACAAUGGACGCAAGUCUGAUCCAGCCAUGCCGCGUGCAGGAAGAAGGCCUUCGGGUUGUAAACUGCUUUUGUCAGGGAAGAAAUCCCUUGGGUUAAUACCUCGGGGGGAUGACGGUACCUGAAGAAUAAGCACCGGCUAACUACGUGCCAGCAGCCGCGGUAAUACGUAGGGUGCAAGCGUUAAUCGGAAUUACUGGGCGUAAAGCGUGCGCAGGCGGUUUUGUAAGACAGAGGUGAAAUCCCCGGGCUCAACCUGGGAACUGCCUUUGUGACUGCAAAGCUUGAGUGCGGCAGAGGGGGAUGGAAUUCCGCGUGUAGCAGUGAAAUGCGUAGAUAUGCGGAGGAACACCGAUGGCGAAGGCAAUCCCCUGGGCCUGCACUGACGCUCAUGCACGAAAGCGUGGGGAGCAAACA